rnacentral:rRNA from 1 species
AAUCGAACCCGGAGAUAGCUGGUUCUCCUCGAAAUAGCUUUAGGGCUAGCCUCGUUUUAGUCUUAUGGAGGUAGAGCACUGAAUUUCCGCGGGGGCGUCAAAGCUUACCAAAGAAUAUCAAACUCCGAAUGCCAUGUAGAUGAUGAACGGGAGUCAGACUGCACGAGAUAAGUUGGGCGGUCAAAAGGGAAAGAGCCCAGACCUUCAGUUAAGGUCCCCAAGUGCGCGUUAAGUGGAAAAGGAUGUGGGAUUUCGAAGACAACCAGGAUGUUGGCUCAGAAGCAGCCAUUCAUUCAAAGAGUGCGUAAUAGCUCACUGGUCGAGUGAAGUUGCGCGGAAAAUUACCGGGGCUAAGCUAUACACCGAAAUUGCGGAUUUACAUUUGAAAGACAAUGUAAGUGGUAGAGGAGCAUUCUGUAGUAGGAAGAAGCAUGACCGUAAGGACAUGUGGACGAAGCAGAAGAGAGAAUGCUGGAAUAAGUAGCGAGAGGAUGGUGAGAAUCCAUCCCGUCGAAAAUCUAAGGUUUCCCAGGGAAGGUUCGUCCGCCUGGGGUAAGUCGGGACCUAAGGAGAGGCCGAAAGGCGUAUCUGAUGGAUAGCAGGUUGAAAUUCCUGCACUACGAAUAUACUUAAAAGAUUCAAGGGACGCAGAAGUGGAAGAUAACCAAGUAAGAGGAAAAGCUUGGCUCGCAAGAGGGAGUGAAAAUUAAAAGUAACGAAGUAUCAAGAAGCACGCUGACGAGAAAAGCUUGAAGAUAUUGUAUAUAAGUACCCGUACCGCAAACCGACACAGGUAGAUGAGGAGAGGAUCCUAAGACGAGCGGGAGAAGCAUUGUUAAGGAACUCGGCAAACUAACCCCGUAACUUCGGAAUAAGGGGUGCUGAUGUAACAGUCAGUCGCAGAGAAAAGGCCCAAGCAACUGUUUAACAAAAACAUAGGUUUCUGCUAAAUCGAAAGAUGAAGUAUAGGAGCUGACGCCUGCCCAGUGCUGGAAGGUCAAGGGGAAGAGUUAGGGUUAAACCGAAGCUUAGAACCAAAGCCCCAGUGAACGGCGGCCGUAACUAUAACGGUCCUAAGGUAGCGAAAUUCCUUGUCAGGUAAGUUCUGACCCGCACGAAAGGCGUAAUGAUUUGGGCGCUGUCUCGACAAUGUCCCCGGCGAAAUUGUAGUACUAGUGAAGAUGCUAGUUACCUGCGAUAAGACAGAAAGACCCCAUGGAGCUUUACUGCAGUUUGAUACUGGGUUUCGAUGAUUUAUGUACAGGAUAGUUGGGAGACUAUGAAAGAGAGGCGUCAGCUUCUCCGGAGUCGUUGUUGGGAUACCAACCUUAAGUUAUUGAAAUUCUAACUUGUAAUCGUAAACCGGUUAGAGGACAAUGUCAGACGGGCAGUUUGACUGGGGCGGUCGCCUCCUAAAGAGUAACGGAGGCGCCCAAAGGUUUCCUCAGCGCGGACAGAAAUCGCGCGAAAGAGUGUAAAGGCAGAAGGAAGCUUAACUGAGAGACAGACAUGUCGACCAGAUACGAAAGUAGGGCUUAGUGAUCCGGUGGUUGUAAAUGGAAAUGCCAUCGCUCAACGGACAAAAGUUACCCUGGGGAUAACAGGCUUAUCUCCCCCAAGAGUUCACAUCGACGGGGAGGUUUGGCACCUCGAUGUCGGCUCAUCGCAUCCUGGAGCUGAAGUCGGUUCCAAGGGUUGGGCUGUUCGCCCAUUAAAGCGGUACGCGAGCUGGGUUCAGAACGU